rnacentral:rRNA from 1 species
ACAGAGGGUGCGAGCGUUAAUCGGAAUUACUGGGCGUAAAGCGAGUGUAGGUGGCUCAUUAAGUCACAUGUGAAAUCCCCGGGCUUAACCUGGGAACUGCAUGUGAUACUGGUGGUGCUAGAAUAUGUGAGAGGGAAGUAGAAUUCCAGGUGUAGCGGUGAAAUGCGUAGAGAUCUGGAGGAAUACCGAUGGCGAAGGCAGCUUCCUGGCAUAAUAUUGACACUGAGAUUCGAAAGCGUGGGUAGCAAACAGGAUUAGAUACCCUGGUAGUCAAGGGCG